AUUGAACGCUGGCGGAAUGCUUUACACAUGCAAGUCGAACGGCAGCACGGGUGCUUGCACCUGGUGGCGAGUGGCGAACGGGUGAGUAAUACAUCGGAGCGUACCCAGUCGUGGAGGAUAACGUAGCGAAAGUUACGCUAAUACCGCAUACGUCCUGAGGGAGAAAGCGGGGGACCGUAAGGCCUCGCGCGAUUGGAGCGGCCGAUGGCGGAUUAGCUAGUUGGUGGGGUAAAGGCCUACCAAGGCGACGAUCCGUAGCGGGUCUGAGAGGAAGGCCCGACACACUGGAACUGAGACACGGUCCAGACUCCUACGGGAGGCAGCAGUGGGGAAUUUUGGACAAUGGGCGAAAGCCUGAUCCAGCCAGUCCGCGUGAGUGAAGAAGGCCUUCGGGUUGUAAAGCUCUUUCGGCAGGGAAGAAACGGCUUGGGAUAAUACCCCGGGCUAAUGACGGUACCUGAAGAAGAAGCACCGGCUAACUACGUGCCAGCCGCCGCGGUAA
rnacentral:rRNA from 1 species